AUGUCUCAAAUCCACAACCAUCAUACCGGUACCAAAAAAUCACCUGUGUCCUGUCUAAACGACUACCGUCCCAUAGCACUGUCUCCAAUCAUGAUGGAGUGCUUUGAGAGGUUAGUCAUGCACAAUAUCAAAACCAGCCUCCACAACACACUUGAUCCGCUCCAGUUUGCAUACCGUCCAAACCGCUCUACAGACGAUGCAAUUUCCUCCACCCUCCACCUGGCUCUUACCCACCUAGAAAAUAAAGACUCCUAUGUCAGAAUGCUGCUCAUCGACUUCAGCUCAGCAUUCAACACAAUAAUCCCACAACAGCUCAUUAAUAAACUAAACCUGCUGGGCCUUAACAAUUCCAUCUGUAAUUGGAUCCUGGACCUUCUAACUGGAAGACCUCAGUCAGUCCGUGUCGGCCACAACACCUCGAGCACUACCACACUGAGAACAGGUGCCCCACAAGGCUGUGUGCUCAGCCCGCUGCUCUUCACGCUGCUAACCCACAACUGCACUGCCAAAUCCAGCUCUAAAAACAACAUCAUCAAGUUUACGGAUGACACAACUGUGGUAGGUCUCAUCAGCAACAGCUAUGAAGUGCACUACAGAGAGGAAGUGGCACAGCUGGCUGAAUGGUGUGGCACUAACAACCUGUCCCUCAAUGUGGAGAAGACAAAGGAGGUUGUGAUGGACUUCAGGAGAAACUCCAUUGACCACCCUUCACUGACCAUCGACAGCUCGAAUGUGGAGAGAGUCAGCAGCACUAAAUUCCUGGGGGUGCACAUCACAGAGGAUCUCACCUGGACCACCAACACCAGCACCUACACUUGUGAACACAGCUGCAAAGAUCAUCGGUGCCCCUCUCCCCUCCAUCCUGGACAUUUUCCUUACACGAUGCGCCAGCAAAACCAACAGUAUCGUGAAGGACCCCACCUAUCCCUCCCACAGUCUCUUCCAGCUCCUACCAUCAGGAAGACGGUACCAAAGCAUCAGAGCCCACUCCGCCACACUGCUCAACAGCUUUUUCCCUCAGACUGUGUGAGCUCUGAACUCAAAUUACCCCGCCCUCCUCUGAAACCCCCACACAAACCCUCUACCUCCUGA
rnacentral:lncRNA from 1 species